rnacentral:rRNA from 1 species
CCCUUAGAUGUUCUGGACCGCACGCGUGCUACACUGAUGCAUUCAACGAGUCUAAAACCUGGUCUGAUAGGGCUGGGUAAUCUUUUGAAAGUGCAUCGUGAUUGGGAUAGAUGAUUGCAAUUCUUCAUCUUCAACGAGGAAUGCCUAGUAAACGCAAGUCAUCAGCUUGCAUUGAUUACGUCCCUGCCCUUUGUACACACCGCCCGUCGCUCCUACCGAUUGAAUGAUCCGAUGAAUACCAUGGAUUGAGAGUACGAAUAGGUUCGCUUAUUUCUGCUGCUCGAGAAGUGGAGUAAAUCUUAUCAUUUAGAGGAAGGAGAAGUCGUAACA